GGAAAGUCGAAAGACGCUGAGAGAGGAGCCCGCGGCUGAUUAGCUAGUUGGUGGGGUAAAGGCUCACCAAGGCAAAGAUCGGUAGCCGGCCUGAGAGGGCACACGGCCACACUGGCACUGAAACACGGGCCAGACUCCUACGGGAGGCAGCAGUGGGGAAUCUUGCACAAUGGGGGAAACCCUGAUGCAGCGACGCCGCGUGAGCGAUGAAGCCCUUCGGGGUGUAAAGCUCUUUCGACGGGAACGAUAAUGACGGUACCCGGAGAAGAAGCUGCGGCUAACUACGUGCCAGCAGCCGCGGUAAUACGUAGGCAGCAAACGUUGUUCGGAAUUACU
rnacentral:rRNA from 1 species